CACCUCUUCUAUGAAAUCAAUAUACGUAGUCCCCCUUCUAGUCGCUAGGUGGCACCACAGCUUUAAAGCAGAGCCAAAAAACUGUGGAAUAACUUACCAUGGACGGUAUAUUCGCCAUCUAUGGUCUUAACCUCAUUCCUCUUUUUGUGCUUUGGUGGCACAUGUUCAUUUUUAUUCGGCGUCGGUGUUUUCAGCUUUUUUCAGCGUUUUUGGAAGUUAAAUGGAGAAGUACAAGUGAGAUUUACGUUAUUCCUUAUCGGAUGAAGAAAGAACCUACCUACGACGAAAGAUUAAAUCUUUCCAUCCGCGAUUACAUAAUCGCUAGUGGCGUGGUUCCCAUCAACGAGAUUUUCUUACAAUUGGGAGACGAUUUCUUCAUCGUCCGGGUUCCGAUCGGAAUCCCCAGAACUCGAAAGACCCCCCAUCUUUCCCACUUAUACGACAGCAGUCGUAUGUAAGUGUUUCGCAAUUGGAAGCAAUCCUUUUGUGAGGGGGUCGGCCAUACAUAUGGUUUUAUAUUUUUUCGACAUCGAAAAAAUAGAGUUUUCUGGCUCGUCCGGCUAUGGAUGAGGCGCCCGGGAUACUGGGACAUAAUGAACAAUUUUUUAUGGCUGUUGGAAUGCAUUUACUCCAUCGUAAGUAUAUUUUUUAGGCCCUUCAAUUAAUUCUGAUGUCAUUGUUGAGCCCCUUGAGACGGAUUUAAAGCAAAAUGGCCUUUAAGCUAUGGGGUCGAUAGUCCCAACACAAAGUUUGAUGUGUCAUGACAUUUUGGCAAGUCAGAUUAAUACCUUUUUGAAAUCCGGUGUGUCCGAAGAUUGUCUCAGUAACCUUUUGCGUUGAUAUCCUGUGCCGAAGAAUUGCCCGCUCAAUAACUCUCCUAAAUUGAAUGUGCAGAUGAAAUCUGCGAUCAACAAAGGUGGAAAGAAAAGGGAUGAGAGACUGACUGCAACAAGGGGUGCUUUGAUGGUGGUUGGUAGGACGCUCUUGACCUUGCUUUUGAAACCGGUUAAGGAUGAGUAGUACUUACUUCUCAUCGAAAUGUUGAGUAAUGCAAUAUUUGUUUUAAGCAAAAUACACCAUUUAGGUUCAGUAUAUAGAAGUUCAGCCGCGUUAAGCCUUUCGCUGGUCUCAAAUGAAAUGCAGCCUUGUAUGAAGGAAGUGCUCGUUGAUGCUUCUUUGCACUCUUGUUUAUAUGGAGAAGAUUUGGCUGAUAGGCUCAAAUCAAUCAGAUUAGCUGCAGAUUAGUGGCCGAGUUAAAGUCAGGUGCAUCCGGAACAAGGCUUUUAUAGCAUACAAAUUUAAACUCGACCGUCCCACUUCGUUCCCGGAAGUUGCAAGGCUGAAGUGGGUGAAAGUCAUUGUACCCUCAAAAGAGGGAAUACAGGAAGGUUCGAGAGGAAAGGGGGUGGAGUUGUGUCCCCAGGAAAAAAUAUUUACAGAAUCCUGAAUGCCCUGUAAGGCAGCAAUGUUACAAACUUGAGAUUUUCUCAGAUGGUACUCCUUUGGGUUGGGGAAUUGUGCCAGAGGACUUUGGAGUCCUAGGGAAGCUCAGUUUCAUAUUAAUGCACUAGAAUUAACUGCGGCCUCAUUUGGUCUCUAAUGCUUCGCCUCGUAUUUGACUAACUGCGAGACACUUUUGAGGAUUGAUAACACAACUGCUAUUUUGUAUGAAAAUAGAAUAGGAUCCGGAGGCAUCUAAUGAAGACGCGUUUACUGUUUUUUGGAGCGACAGUUUCUUCUAUGUUUUCCCCCCGUUUUGCUUGUUGCCACUUGUUUUACGAAAAAUCAAGGCUUAUUGAGCUACAGGGAUCGCAGUAAUCCCUUACGGGCACAGCCAGCAAUGACAAAUUACCUUCUCCUUUUGACAGGAGAGGUCAUCCUGGCUGCAGGGAUUUUGUCAGGCAAGCAUUCCAGAAGAUUUGCUGGAUAUUUUUCUAUCAUCUGUUCAGAGCGCUACCUUGAGGCAUUUAAUACCUGCAUGCAUUUAAACUUUGGUGGAGCUUCUACGAAAGGAGGGGAGUGGAGUGUUAUUACUUCUCACCUAGGCUGUAUUAGAUUUCCUUACUAUUCAUUUUAGGCAAGGCAAGUCCUAUGGCUCAUUGAGUUCUUUCAGUGCAGCACGGCCUUAUUUUUGGAUCAGAUUUAUUUAACAAUGCAAAUCUAACUAGGUUUUUUAAGGUGUUUAUAAUCUAAGGCCAAGUAAACCAAGAUAUAACAGCACUUGGGGCCCUAGUUAUGUCCCUGACUUUGUAAAAGGGUUACGUUCUAAUGACUUGUCAUUAAA